CACGCGAAAGUCCCCUUCGGGGGAUGAUUCCAGUGGCGCACGGGUGAGUAACACGUAGGUAAUCUACCUUCGGAUGGGGAAUAACAACCGGAAACGGUUGCUAAUACCGCAUAAUGCAGCGGCACCUAAUGGUGACAGUUGUUAAAGCGGGGGAUCGUAAGACCUCGCGUCUGAAGAGGAGCCUGCGGCGGAUUAGCUAGUUGGUAAGGUAAUGGCUUACCAAGGCGACGAUCCGUAACCGGCCUGAGAGGGCGGUCGGUCACACUGACACUGACAUACGGGUCAGACUCCUACGGGAGGCAGCAGUCGGGAAUUUUGGGCAAUGGGCGAAAGCCUGACCCAGCAACGCCGCGUGAAGGAUGAAAUCCCUCGGGAUGUAAACUUCGCAAGAACGGGAAGAAUAAGUAGGGGACAAUACCCCCUAUGAUGACGGUACCGUUUGUAAGCUCCGGCUAACUCCGUGCCAGCAGCCGCGGUAAUACGGGGGGAGCAAGCGUUGUUCGGAUUUACUGGGCGUAAAGGGCGCGUAGGCGGCCAGCGCAAGUCAGUUGUGAAAUCUCCGAGCUUAACUCGGAAAGGUCAACUGAUACUGCGCGGCUAGAGUGCGGAA
rnacentral:rRNA from 1 species